UACGUAGGGUGCGAGCGUUGUCCGGAAUUAUUGGGCGUAAAGAGCUCGUAGGCGGUCUGUCGCGUCGGAUGUGAAAACCCAGGGCUCAACCCUGGGCCUGCAUUCGAUACGGGCAGACUAGAGUUCGGUAGGGGAGACUGGAAUUCCUGGUGUAGCGGUGAAAUGCGCAGAUAUCGGGAAGAACACCCGUGGCUAAGGCGGCUCUCUAGUACGGUACUGACGCUGAGACGCGAAAGCGUGGGGAGCGAACAGG
rnacentral:rRNA from 1 species